ACCUUAGAGACCAACUAAGUUUGUUCUGGGUAUAAGCUUCCGUGUCCAUGCACAAAGAAGUGCAUGGUAUCUGAAGAAGUGUGCAUGCACACGAAAGCUUAUACCCAGAACAAACUUAGUUGGUCUCUAAGGU